GAUGAACGCUGGCGGCGCGCUUAACACAUGCAAGUCGAGCGAGAACCAGUCCUUCGGGGCUGGGGACAGCGGUGAACGGGUGAGUAACACGUGGGUAAUCUGCCCUCGGCACCGGAAUAGCCCGGGGAAACCCGGAUUAAUGCCGGAUGGCCUCUCUGCCCCUCGGGGCGGUGAGAAAAGGUAGCUUCGGCCUCCGGCCGAGGAUGAGCCCGCGGCCGAUUAGCUUGUUGGUGGGGUAACGGCUCACCAAGGCGACGAUCGGUAGCUGGUCUGAGAGGACGAUCAGCCACACUGGGACUGAGACACGGCCCAGACUCCUACGGGAGGCAGCAGUGGGGAAUCUUGCGCAAUGGGCGAAAGCCUGACGCAGCGACGCCGCGUGCGGGAAGAAGGCCUUCGGGUUGUAAACCGCUUUCAGGAGGGACGAAGCCACUCGGGUUAAUAGCCUAGAGGGUGACGGUACCUCCAGAAGAAGCCCCGGCUAACUACGUGCCAGCCGCCGCAGUAAAAC
rnacentral:rRNA from 1 species